UCCUCACACCCUGCCCCACAUCCCCCCCCAGCUCUCAGCCACCAAAGCGGGUCGGCUCCUGCUGAGGUCUCGGGGCACGUACGUGGUUCUGCGUGAGCUGCAUCGAUGCGAGACUGACCCACAAGUGCUGGAGGCCUGCGAGAAGCUCAUCCAGGUGCUGAUCGGGGACGAACCAGAACCGGGCCUGGAGAACCUGCUGGAGGUGGAGAUACCUGCAGACAUAGAGCAGAAACUGAGGAGGGUCGACAUGGAGGGUCCUGGAAGGUGACGGGAGCGUCGCCCUAUGGGACAAACCCCAACGGGCCGAUGUGGGUCCCACUGUGCCCUACAAUGGGGUCCUGCAGGUGGGGACCCCCUACGUGUGGGGCAGCUCCGCGUCCCUUCUGGAAAGCCAAAAUAUGUAUAUUUAUAUUGAUUUUAAAUACAAAAAAAAGCCAAAAACACCAAA